UGUAGGUAUAUUAUAUAGGUAAAUUGUUUUGGGAGUUUGAUAUACAGAUUAUUUUCUUACCUAGGUAAAAGCACAGUACCUAAUAGUUUGUUUUCUUUUUUCAAUCCCCACCCUCCUCUCAUCCCUCUAUUCACGAAUAACCCUGGCAUCUGUUGUUCCCUUCUCUAUAUUCAUAUGUACUAAGUGUUUAGUUCCCACUUAUGAGUGAAAACAUGCAGUCUUUGGUUUUCUGUUCCUGUGUUAGUAUGCUUAGGAUAAUCUUCUCCAGCUCCAUCCAUGUUAUUGCAACACACAUUAUCUCAUUCUUUUUUAUGGUUGUAUAGUAUUCCAUUGCAUAUAUCUUUCCGAUUUUAAUAAAUCCAGUUUAUCACUGAUGAACAUUUAGGUUAAUUCCAUGUCUUUGUUACUAUCAAUUAAUGCCAAGAUUAAUAUAUGUAUGUGUGUGUUAUUAUAGUAGAAUGAUUUAUAUUCCAUUGGGUAUCUAAAAUCAAUAAUGGGAUUACUGGGUCAAAUGAUAGUUCUGUUUUUAGUUUUUCAGGAAAUUGACAACUGUUUUCUACAGUCACUGAACUGCUUUACAUCCCCACCAGCUGUAUACAAGCAUUCCCUUUUCUCUACAACUUCACCAGCAUCUGUUAUUUUUUGACUUUUUAAUAAUGGCCAUACUGACUUGUGUGAGAUGGUACCUCAUUGUGGUUGUGACUUGCAUUUCUCUAACAAGUAGUGAUGUUGAGCAUUUUUUGUGUGCUUUUUGGCUGCAUGUAUGUUUUCUUUUUAAAGUGUCUGUUAAUGUACUUUGCUCAUUUUUAAUGAGGUUAUAUCUUUUUUGUUGUUUGUUAAAGUUUCUUAUAGAUCCUGGAUAUCAGACCAUCAUCAGACACAUAGUUUGCAGAUUUUCUCCCAUUUGACAGAGCUUAUACAAAUUAAGAAAAUAACAGGAGAGGACUCAAGAUGGCGCUGUGAGAACAACCCAGGAUUGGAGCUCUUCUCGUUGAAUCCGCAAACGGUGAGUCAGAGCGGCAUUACCAGACUGAUCUUUGUUGCCCACAGAACGGGGAAACUCCCAAGUAUAAAAAAGACACGGGACGCCAGGCAGUAGGUCUGCCUGGCGAAGCCGGCAGCCGGGGCGGCGGCGGCCGGCCCUACCCAGCAAUCCCCACAGGGCGCACUUGUCCGGGUGCCCUGUUGAACCAGCAACCUGAGACUUGAGAGGGCUGGACUUGAGACUGAACGAGACUUGGACAGUAGGCCAGCCCAGGGGAUUGCAGGGAUUGGGAUACCCAGUGGGACGAACAAAAUCGCGAUUUCAAACUAGACCGAGCAGACGGUCCAAGACGCUCUGUGGGGGAGGGGCGUCCACCACUACCGAGGCAGCCUGCCCCAACUGAGAUACACGCCCACUGCUGACGCAGCCAGCCGUUGCCGAGGCAACCCGCCCCAACUGAGAUACACGGCCAUUGCUGACGCAGCCAGCUGUUGCCGAGGCAACCCGUCCCUACUGAGAUACACGCCCACUGCUGACGCAGCCUGCCAUUGCUGAGGCAACACGCUACAACGAAGAGACUCCGCCCCAGGGCGUGGCGGAGACCACAGCAGAGCCGGCAGGAACAGCGCGAAUCACACAACAGCAGGGCGGAGCCUCGACAGCCAAACAGUGGCUAGUCUGCCUUCUAGCUGGGCAGGACACCUGAACGGACAUCCAAAAAUAAAGCCCAAACCCCUCAACACAGAGCAUCUGAGAAAAAAAAAAAAAAGGGUUUUUUAAUGAGCUCUGUUGCAGCAGAAUAAAACACAGCAGCCUAACAGCCCUGAAUGAACAACAGAGUGCACAGCUCAGCAAUUAAACCCCUAUAAAGUACAAACUGUCUCCUCAAGCAGCUCCCUGACCCCUCUAUAUCCAAAAGACUGACAUUAGGCAGGCAUCAUCCUGGGACAAAGAGAGCAGAAAAAGAAACUGGUGGCAUCCCUCGCUGUGCCACAGCUACUAGAGGUGCACCCCAGACAAGCAGGGUCUGGAGCGGACCUCAGCAGUCGUACAGCGAAGGGGCUAGACUGGUAGAAGGAAAACCAAGCAACAGAAAUACUUCAUCAUCAACAUUCUGGGUGUCCACUCAGAGACCCAAACGAAAAGUCAGCAACUACGCAGACGACCAGUGGACAAAUCCACAAAGAUGGGAAGAAACCAGCGCAGAAAGGAGGAAAACACCCGAAACCAGAACACCUCGCCUCCUAGAAAGGAACAAAACUCCUCACCAGCAAGGGAGCAAAGCUGGACGGAGAAUGACUGUGACGAAAUGACGGAAUUAGACUUCAGAAGAUGGAUAAUGAGAAACUUUUGUGAGCUAAAAGAACAUGUAUUAAAUCAAUGCAAAGAAACUAAGAACCUUGAAAAAGAU
rnacentral:lncRNA from 1 species